GCGGGUGUGCCAGAGUCCGGUCAAAUGGGGUGGACUUAAGAUCCAUCGGCUUAGUGCCUGCGCAGGUUCGAAUCCUGUCACCCGCA
rnacentral:tRNA from 1 species